GGGGCUGUAGCUCAGUGGUAGAGCACUUGCCUAGCAUGUGUGAGGUCCUGGGUUCGAUUCUCAGCACCA
rnacentral:tRNA from 1 species